UACAGAGGUCUCAAGCGUUGUUCGGAUUCAUUGGGCGUAAAGGGUGCGUAGGUGGCAUGGUAAGUCAGGGGUGAAAUCCUGGAGCUCAACUCCAGAACUGCCUUUGAUACUGGGAGUCUUGAGUUCGGGAGAGGUGAGUGGAACUGCGAGUGUAGAGGUGAAAUUCGUAGAUAUUCGCAAGAACACCAGUGGCGAAGGCGGCUCACUGGCCCGAUACUGACGCUGAGGUGCGAAAGCGUGGGGAGCAAACAGG
rnacentral:rRNA from 1 species